rnacentral:rRNA from 1 species
UACGGUAGGGUGCGAGCGUUGUCCGGAAUUAUUGGGCGUAAAGGGCUCGUAGGCGGUUUGUCGCGUCGGGAGUGAAAUCCACUGGCUUAACUGGUGGCUUGCUUUCGAUACGGGCAGACUGGAGGUAUGCAGGGGAGAACGGAAUUCCUGGUGUAGCGGUGAAAUGCGCAGAUAUCGUGAGGAAGACCAGUGGCGAAGGCGGGUCUCUGGACAGUUCCUGACGCUGAGGCGCGAAGGCCAGGGGAGCAAACGGG